UCAGGAUGAACGCUAGCUACAGGCUUAACACAUGUCAAGUCGAGGGGCAGCAUUAUCGAAGCUUGCUUUGAUAGAUGGCGACCGGCGCACGGGUGAGUAACGCGUAUCCGAACCUUCCCAUCACUCAGGGAUAGCCCGCCGAAAGGCGAAUUAAUACCUAAUGGUCUCCUUUGCGGACAUCUAACGAGGAGUAAAGAUUUAUUGGUGAUGGAUGGGGAUGCGUCUGAUUAGGUAGUAGGCGGGGUAACGGCCCACCUAGCCGACGAUCAGUAGGGGUUCUGAGAGGAAGGUCCCCCACAUUGGAACUGAGACACGGUCCAAACUCCUACGGGAGGCAGCAGUGAGGAAUAUUGGUCAAUGGACGGAAGUCUGAACCAGCCAAGUAGCGUGCAAGGAUGACGGCCCUAUGGGUUGUAAACUGCUUUUGUGCGGGAAUAAAGUAUGGGACGUGUCCCAUUUUGCAUGUACCGCACGAAUAAGGACCGGCUAAUUCCGUGCCAGCCGCUGC
rnacentral:rRNA from 1 species